rnacentral:hammerhead_ribozyme from 1 species
AUACAGCUGACGAGUCCCAAAUAGGAUGAAACGCGUGUCCUGGAU